rnacentral:rRNA from 1 species
GACGAACGCUGGCGGCGUGCUUAACACAUGCAAGUCGAACGGUGAAGCGCCUUCCUUUUUGGUGGGUGUGGAUGAGUGGCGCACGGGUGAGUAACACGUGAGUAACCUGCCCCCUUCUUCUGGAUAACCGCAUGAAAGUGUGGCUAAUACGGGAUAUUCUGGGUCUGUCGCAUGAUGGGUCUGGGAAAGAUCUUGUUUCGGUGGGGGAUGGGCUCGCGGCCUAUCAGCUUGUUGGUGGGGUGAUGGCCUACCAAGGCGGUGACGGGUAGCCGGCCUGGGAGGAUGGACGGUCACACUGGGACUGAGACCCGGCCGACACUCCUACGGGAGGCAGCAGUGGGGAUUAUUGCACAAUGGGCGCAAGCCUGAUGCAGCGACGCCGCGUGAGGGAUGGAGGCCUUCGGGUUGUGAACCUCUUUCGCCAGUGAAGCAGGCCUGCCUCGUUUGUGGGUGGGUUGACGGUAGCUGGAGAAGAAGCGCCGGCUAACUACGUG